rnacentral:rRNA from 1 species
GACGUAGGUGGCAAGCGUUGUCCGGAUUUACUGGGCGUAAAGAGCGCGCAGGCGGUCGUGCAAGUCGCGUGUGAAAGCCCCCGGCUCAACUGGGGAGGGUCACGCGAUACUGCUCGACUCGAAGGCAGGAGAGGGAAGUGGAAUUCCCGGUGUAGUGGUGAAAUGCGUAGAUAUCGGGAGGAACACCAGUGGCGAAGGCGACUUCCUGGCCUGUUCUUGACGCUGAGGCGCGAAAGCUAGGGUAGCAAACGGG